AGAGCAAGGGGGUUGGGUGGAGAGGUCAGGAAGGAUAUGGGGCAGGGGCAGAUAAGGGAACAGCUGACUCAAAGAAGCAGUAAAUUGUUUAGGGGAUAAACUGCUGCUCUGUGUCUGACCCAGCCAAGCCCAGACUCUCUGCCAAGCAGGAAGCUGGGUAAUACAGAAGAGAGGGUGAAACUCACACAGUGACGUCAACAGCAGCUCUGUCACCACAGGCAAAUCUACCCACCCAGGACCAUGGAUUCUGAACUGCCACUUCUCGACCCAGAGAUCAGAGUCAGGAACAGAAAGAUGUGCUACUCCAGCUUUGGCCCUACCAUGGGUCCCAGACUUCUCCUUUGCGUGUUCCUUUGUCUCCCGGAACCAGGUUCCAUGGGUGCUAUGGUCAUCCAGAGUCCAAAAUACCGGGUUACCAGUGUGGGAAAAUUGGUGUCCCUGAGUUGUUCUCAGAAUCUGAAUCAUGAUACCAUGUACUGGUACCAGCAGAAGCAGAGCCAAGCUCCAAAGCUGCUGUUUUACUACUACGAAACAAACUUUAAUAAGGAAGCAGAUACCUCUGAUAACUUCCAACCCCAGCGGCCCAACACUUCCUUCUGUGGUCUUGACAUCGGCUCACCAGGCUUGGCGGACUCGGCCGUGUAUCUGUGUGCCAGCAGUAGAGACACAGAGGUGCCGCCUUGCCUCUCCUCUGCUCAUAAUCCUGCCGUACCCCAGAUGCAAGAGCCUUCUCUAGGACCAACCCUCCUUCUAACAGCAACAACAGGAAGUGAGUUUAUGGCUACCCUGAUCUCAUCUGUAGGCAGGAGCUGGGCAUAAACCUGCAAAACCCAUUUGUCAGUUAUGCCGACAGUGGAAAAAUGGCUACAAUCACCUGAUGUUCAGUUUGUGAUAUUUUCCAAGAUAAACUUCAUCACCACUCUUCCUUGAACCUUUGAUUUAAAGUUAAAUGCAUCCUGUCCUCUUUAGCAGACAAGUAGAAACAUCUUUCUUUUUUUUUUCAUUGUUUGUUUUAAUCUAAUCUAAAUCAAAAAACCAAACUCAUCACCCUCGAGUGGAUUUCGACUUAUAGUGACUAUU